GUCUACAGCCAUGCUACCCUGAACAAGCCUGAUUCCGUCUGAUCUCAGAAGCUAAGCAGGGCCAGGCCCGGUUAGUACUGGAUGGGAGACCACCUAGGAAGACUAAAAAAUAAUAAUAA
rnacentral:rRNA from 1 species